UUCUGUGUGGCUCAGUUGGUAGAGCAUGGUGCUUGCAACGCCAAGGUUGUGGAUUUGAUUCCCACUGGAGAUC
rnacentral:tRNA from 1 species